rnacentral:rRNA from 1 species
AUGUUCAGCGCUGCCACUGCAAUAUCUCUUGGCAAUGGGCAUGCCGCACGGUUUUGGAUGGACAACUGGCUGCCGAACGGGCGAUCGAUUGUGGCCUCUGCGCCGGCUUUGUUCUCCUUCGUCAGAGACUCUGGUAUGUUGGUUAGCAAAGCCUUGCAAGGGCAGUCUUGGGUCAGAGAUAUCACGGGCGGCAUCUCCGUGCAGGCGCUCGCACAGUAUCUCUCCAUCUGGGAUAUCACUCACGCCACGAACCUGACUCCUGGGGUGCGAGAUCCGGCAUUCUGGAGGCUAACGAAGGACCGGCAAUUCUCUAUUAGUAGUGCCUACAGUUUAUUCUUCAUGGCUAGCGAGCGUUUCGCCUGCAACAAGACAAUUUGGAGGUCUAAAGCCCCCCCCCCCACGGUGCAAGUUCUUCAUGUGGCUUGCAGUGCAUGGCAAAUGUCUGACAGCGGAUAA